UCUCCUGUAGCUCAGUGGUUGAGCGUCCACCCGGUGUGCGGGAGCUCAUGGGUUCGAAUCCUGUUGGGAUAA